GACAGGAUGGCGGAAUGGUAAGCGCUAGGCCGAAAGCUGAUUUUAUAGGUUCGAAUCCUGCUCCUGUCA
rnacentral:tRNA from 1 species